rnacentral:rRNA from 1 species
GACGAACGCUGGCGGCGUGCCUAACACAUGCAAGUCGAACGGAGUCGGCCCCUUCGGGGACUGACUUAGUGGCGAACGGGUGAGUAACGCGUGAGGAACCUGCCUUUCAGUGGGGGACAACAGUUGGAAACGACUGCUAAUACCGCAUAACACUUUAGUACCGCAUGGUACAGAAGUCAAAGAUUUAUUGCUGAAAGAUGGUCUCGCGUCUGAUUAGCUAGUUGGUGAGGUAACGGCUCACCAAGGCGACGAUCAGUAGCCGGUCUGAGAGGAUGAACGGCCACAUUGGGACUGAGAUACGGCCCAGACUCCUACGGGAGGCAGCAGUGGGGAAUAUUGGGCAAUGGGGGAAACCCUGACCCAGCAACGCCGCGUGAAGGAAGAAGGCCUUCGGGUUGUAAACUUCUUUUACCUAGGGACGAAGAACGUGACGGUACCUGGAGAAAAAGACAACGGCUAACUACGUAG